UUUUACGAGCGCUGGCUUACCCCUCUCGACGUUUUGACAGUUUGUUUGUUUUUCUCCCUCACCUUCCCUCUCAGCGUCGCCGUCGAUGAAUCGAUGAUGACUUUCCGAUUCGGUCGUGAAAGAAUUUUGGUGGGCCAGUCCGUUUGUUUCGUGAAAUGCGUUGGGCAGUGAAAAAAAUUCGCGAAGGUAUGGAAACAUCGAAAACCGACCAGCCAAUACUCCGGACGGUGAAAUUCGCGAAUUCAGAUGUGCAUGUGAUGGAUAAAAAUUCAGCCGUAUGACCAAUGGCUCCAAACUGGCAUAUCAAUAAUAUGCGCCUUGCGAAACUUGUCGCAGUACACGGUUCCAGAUGGUUCCAGUGCAGACGGUGGACCGCUACCAAACAAUUCAAACAACAACAAUGUCGUCGGCGUGCGUACAGCCGCUUUCACUGAUUCCUGCGAUCGACGACUCCUGGACGGGCUCGAAGGGUGAAUUCGAAAGCAAAGUUGUAAAUAUAGAGUCUAACUGAUGAGUAAAACGCAGCCGGUGCGACCAAGGUGCUCUGUGCUGUAGAAAUGUAUACCUACGUGCCCAAACUUGCGCAUGGCUUAGCUGAUUCAAAUGAAUCGAAAUAAUUCUUUUUAGUUUUGUGUGGCGAGCUUUUGGACAUUUCCUUCGGAAAAAGAUUAUAACCGUGCGAUCGAGGGCUGCCAUAGUUCAACACCAAUUUUUCUUCGAAACACAAUCUGCUCUUCGAUGACAUGCAACAGUGCCGAGCUGCUUAUUUGUUAUCAGGCAGAGAGGACGGAGGAAGCUUUCUCGAACCAUUUAUACGUAUCCGGAAAAUGACGUUUUUUGGAGUUCAAAACAACUAGCAACUGUGAUUGAUUGCAAUCAAAUGCACCGGAACCGUUUCCACUGAGAAAAACUACGAUGGAGCAGUUUUUCUGAGCUUUCCUACUCAUGAAGAUUAAGAAGGUAAUGGUAUCAUCAACAUCAACAAUAAGCGUACCCGUUUUUAAAUCUACAGGGUAUCAUUUUUUUCUUAUCCUUGAAAGAUUGUUUAAUAAUCCCAGAAGGAUUCGGGAUCUUCAAAGGACUUAGAGGCCACUCACCUUUCGCCCUGCUAUUUCACCGGAUGGAAAAUUCAUGUUCAAGAUGACACGCUGCCCCUGGAUGAUAUUACCAUUACACAUGAGAGCUGCGGAUGGACCGAUCAGGACAACGAAAUAUAGGCGCACUCAGCUUACCGCGAUUCUACCACUGUAAAUAAUGGUAACCGACUGUAAAAUUAACCAUUCAAUAAUCUUCUGAAUUUCACCAUGCCGCUGUAUAGAGAAAAUACGUUGUGGACAUAAAAUUAAUGUACUUCAUACAAAAUGCAUGCAAUAAAAAAUAGAUAAUUAGAAGACAAAAAACAUUAUUAUAAU